CCGGCCCCCUCGAGGCAGUUCAGUGGGGUGCAUACUGAUUAGAACAGAUGUCCAAUGGGAGUUCCGCUCUGGGCAUCAACACUCACCUCUUGCUUCUGGUUUGUCCAAGGCCUGUAAAGUCUGCUCAGCUUAUUUCCUCAACCACAACAACAAUGACAAUAUGGACAUGGAGAAGAAAAAAAAAUGGAGGGCAGGACCAGAGUCACAGCGC